UGGGGAAUAUUGGGCAAUGGGCGCAAGCCUGACCCAGCAACGCCGCGUGAAGGAAGAAGGCUUUCGGGUUGUAAACUUCUUUUAAGAGGGAAGAGCAGAAGACGGUACCUCUUGAAUAAGCCACGGCUAACUACGUGCCAGCAGCCGCGGUAAUACGUAGGUGGCAAGCGUUGUCCGGAUUUACUGGGUGUAAAGGGCGUGUAGCCGGGCUGACAAGUCAGAUGUGAAAUCCCGUGGCUCAACCACGGAACUGCAUUUGAAACUGUCGGUCUUGAGUAUCGGAGAGGCAGGCGGAAUUCCUAG
rnacentral:rRNA from 1 species